rnacentral:tRNA from 1 species
GGUUUAGCUCAGUGGUAGGGCGCUUGCCUAGCAAGCACAAGGCCCUGGGUUCGGUCCCCAGAUCC